GGGUUGUGAGGUUAAGCGACUAAGCGUACACGGUGGAUGCCCUGGCAGUCAGAGGCGAUGAAGGACGUGCUAAUCUGCGAAAAGCGUCGGUAAGGUGAUAUGAACCGUUAUAACCGGCGAUGUCCGAAUGGGGAAACCCAGUGUGAUUCGUCACACUAUCGUUAACUGAAUACAUAGGUUAACGAGGCGAACCGGGGGAACUGAAACAUCUAAGUACCCCGAGGAAAAGAAAUCAACCGAGAUUCCCCAGUAGCGGCGAGCGAACGGGGAGCAGCCCAGAGUCUGAAUCAGCUUGUGUGUUAGUGGAACGGUCUGGAAAGUCCGACGGUACAGGGUGAUAGUCCCGUACACCAAAAUGCACAGGUUGUGAACUCGAAGAGUAGGGCGGGACACGUGGUAUCCUGUCUGAAUAUGGGGGGACCAUCCUCCAAGGCUAAAUACUCCUGACUGACCGAUAGUGAACCAGUACCGUGAGGGAAAGGCGAAAAGAACCCCGGCGAGGGGAGUGAAAAAGAACCUGAAACCGUGUACGUACAAGCAGUGGGAGCACCUUCGGGUGUGACUGCGUACCUUUUGUAUAAUGGGUCAGCGACUUAUAUUCUGUAGCAAGGUUAACCGUAUAGGGGAGCCGCAGGGAAACCGAGUCUUAACUGGGCGUUAAGUUGCAGGGUAUAGACCCGAAACCCGGUGAUCUAGCCAUGGGCAGGUUGAAGGUUGGGUAACACUAACUGGAGGACCGAACCGACUAAUGUUGAAAAAUUAGCGGAUGACUUGUGGCUGGGGGUGAAAGGCCAAUCAAACCGGGAGAUAGCUGGUUCUCCCCGAAAGCUAUUUAGGUAGCGCCUCGUGAAUUCAUCUUCGGGGGUAGAGCACUGUUUCGGCUAGGGGGUCAUCCCGACUUACCAACCCGAUGCAAACUACGAAUACCGAAGAAUGUUAUCACGGGAGACACACGGCGGGUGCUAACGUCCGUCGUGAAGAGGGAAACAACCCAGACCGCCAGCUAAGGUCCCAAAGUCAUGGUUAAGUGGGAAACGAUGUGGGAAGGCACAGACAGCCAGGAUGUUGGCUUAGAAGCAGCCAUCAUUUAAAGAAAGCGUAAUAGCUCACUGGUCGAGUCGGCCUGCGCGGAAGAUGUAACGGGGCUAAACCAUGCACCGAAGCUGCGGCAGCGACACUAUGUGUUGUUGGGUAGGGGAGCGUUCUGUAAGCCUGCGAAGGUGACCUGUGAGGGUUGCUGGAGGUAUCAGAAGUGCGAAUGCUGACAUAAGUAACGAUAAAGCGGGUGAAAAGCCCGCUCGCCGGAAGACCAAGGGUUCCUGUCCAACGUUAAUCGGGGCAGGGUGAGUCGACCCCUAAGGCGAGGCCGAAAGGCGUAGUCGAUGGGAAACAGGUUAAUAUUCCUGUACUUGGUGUUACUGCGAAGGGGGGACGGAGAAGGCUAUGUUAGCCGGGCGACGGUUGUCCCGGUUUAAGCAUGUAGGCUGGUUAUCCAGGCAAAUCCGGAUAAUCAAGGCUGAGGUGUGAUGACGAGGCACUACGGUGCUGAAGUAACAAAUGCCCUGCUUCCAGGAAAAGCCUCUAAGCAUCAGGUAACAUCAAAUCGUACCCCAAACCGACACAGGUGGUCAGGUAGAGAAUACCAAGGCGCUUGAGAGAACUCGGGUGAAGGAACUAGGCAAAAUGGUGCCGUAACUUCGGGAGAAGGCACGCUGGUGUGUAGGUGAAGUCCCUGCGGAUGGAGCUGAGACCAGUCGAAGAUACCAGCUGGCUGCAACUGUUUAUUAAAAACACAGCACUGUGCAAACACGAAAGUGGACGUAUACGGUGUGACGCCUGCCCGGUGCCGGAAGGUUAAUUGAUGGGGUUAUCCGUAAGGAGAAGCUCUUGAUCGAAGCCCCGGUAAACGGCGGCCGUAACUAUAACGGUCCUAAGGUAGCGAAAUUCCUUGUCGGGUAAGUUCCGACCUGCACGAAUGGCGUAAUGAUGGCCAGGCUGUCUCCACCCGAGACUCAGUGAAAUUGAACUCGCUGUGAAGAUGCAGUGUACCCGCGGCAAGACGGAAAGACCCCGUGAACCUUUACUAUAGCUUGACACUGAACAUUGAGCCUUGAUGUGUAGGAUAGGUGGGAGGCUUUGAAGCGUGGACGCCAGUCUGCGUGGAGCCAACCUUGAAAUACCACCCUUUAAUGUUUGAUGUUCUAACGUUGGCCCCUGACCGGGGUUGCGGACAGUGUCUGGUGGGUAGUUUGACUGGGGCGGUCUCCUCCCAAAGCGUAACGGAGGAGCACGAAGGUUAGCUAAUCCUGGUCGGACAUCAGGAGGUUAGUGCAAUGGCAUAAGCUAGCUUGACUGCGAGCGUGACGGCGCGAGCAGGUGCGAAAGCAGGUCAUAGUGAUCCGGUGGUUCUGAAUGGAAGGGCCAUCGCUCAACGGAUAAAAGGUACUCCGGGGAUAACAGGCUGAUACCGCCCAAGAGUUCAUAUCGACGGCGGUGUUUGGCACCUCGAUGUCGGCUCAUCACAUCCUGGGGCUGAAGUAGGUCCCAAGGGUAUGGCUGUUCGCCAUUUAAAGUGGUACGCGAGCUGGGUUUAGAACGUCGUGAGACAGUUCGGUCCCUAUCUGCCGUGGGCGCUGGAGAAUUGAGGGGGGCUGCUCCUAGUACGAGAGGACCGGAGUGGACGCAUCACUGGUGUUCGGGUUGUCAUGCCAAUGGCACUGCCCGGUAGCUAAAUGCGGAAGAGAUAAGUGCUGAAAGCAUCUAAGCACGAAACUUGCCCCGAGAUGAGUUCUCCCUGAGACUUUAAGUCUCCUGAAGGAACGUUGAAGACGACGACGUUGAUAGGCCGGGUGUGUAAGCGCAGCGAUGCGUUGAGCUAACCGGUACUAAUGAACCGUGAGGCUUAACCUUACAACGCCGAAG
rnacentral:rRNA from 1 species